UUGUGGCUCAGUGGCAGAGCAUCUACUUGACAUACAGAAGGUCCCAGGUUCAGUUCUCGGGGUAUCAA
rnacentral:tRNA from 1 species